GCUGGGCGUGAUGGCACACACCUGUAAUCCCAGCUACUCAGGAGGCUGAGGCAGGAGAAUUGCUUGAGCCCGGGAGGCGGAGGUUGCAGUGAGCCGAGAUCGUGCCACUGCACUCCAGCCUGGGCAACAGAGCGAGACUCUGUCUCAA
rnacentral:SRP_RNA from 2 species